GACACAACGGAUGGAUAAGAUUUGUGAUAAGAAUUGUACGAGCCCCCAAUAAAGUGCUUUAAAAAACAACAACACUGCCUUGAACCUCUCCUCAGGUGCUGUUGCCUUUUAGCAGGGAACACCCGUUACCUUAAGAUCCCUUUGCUACCACACAUAAGGGACACAAUUUUAAUUAGUCACAACGAUGUCCCUCUGACAUGUAUUAUAUAAUUGCAAAUGGUUUAUCCUAUUUAAUAAGCUCGUCAUCUUGCACCCCCAUUUCACAGUAUAGCAGCAGUGACCACUAAGGUCUCUCCUGAGCCUGUGAAGCACACAAAUGUUUUUGUCACAGUUCUUGUGACAAAAAAAGAUGCUCCCUUCAAUUUCCCUUGGCUGUCCAGUAGCUGGUGCUCACUCUUGCUGACCUUCACACUUUCUAUCCUAUGUGAAAUGGAUAACAUUAUUAUACAAAAUUUGCAGUUUUUGACAACCCUACCACGUCCUGGACCAUUGUACUUCCUUUGCCUUAAUUCAGUGGCUAGUAUGUUUGAGCCAAGGUCCCUUUUAUUGGUGUGCAAUCUGCAUAAUUGCAAUGGCUGUGGUCUUCCCAAUUACACUCAGGGCAUGCGUACCUUUGCAGUGUAACAGCAAAGGCCCUCUUUGGAUUGUUAAUGUAUUUUGCCCCAGUUCUGUGCACUACUUGAGGGCCCUGCCUACUUCCUUAAUAUUUUCAAUGGAUGGUUCUUCCUAUUCAAGAUCCUGUCACGUGAAAAGUUCAUGUGUCGUAUUUUCUACAAAUGUCUUGCACCAGAACCCCUGUACACCCUCUUUGCUUUAGAGCAAGUACAUGCUGCUGUUCACCGAAUCCCCCUUCCUUUGGACUUUAAUGUACAUAAAAUGAUCGUUCAUAUAUUUUGUUUUUGUAUCUUCCAUGUCCCCGUAAUCCUGCAUGAUCCCUUCCUUUGGGAAUAUAAUGUGAAUAAUUAUAUUUGUAUGUGCACAUGUACAUUAGAAAAUGACCCUAUACCCCUACCACUGUAUUUGGACUCCUGCUGAACAAUGCUUACUAUUCAUGUUCUCAGCUCUUGAAUAGUUAAUGUGCACCAAGAACAAUGGUGGAGAAAACUGGCCAUUAGGAAGCAUCCUUGCACCCUUUGUAAGGCAUACUGACUACCUCAGGCCCCAGUUCACAGAUUGCAAAUGUGAAUAUUUGCAGUUAUCCAUGUCCCCUUCUGUUCAAGUAGGCCAUCACCCCCUCACACCCCCUUUAUAUAUUACAGGGGCCGCUGACCGCUGGACUAUUAAUGGACACAAUGGCAAUUAUCAAUGUUUUUGUUUCCCCAGCCCUCUUAGGCAAACACUCGACCUUCAUUUCCCAUGCCAUAAUAAAGUAUAAACAUGGCAGGAGGCUCUGAUCUUACCCAUCAAACUAGGACACCCAUCCGCUGCUCCAUUGUAUAAAAUCCCAAUUAUCCAUGAGCUCAUCCUUUAUAAAAGGUCUCUCCCCACCCAUUGCCUGCCCUCAACCCCUUGUUGUGGACUACUGCUAAUACUCACAAUCUCAGGUGUCCCUGUAUCCCGCCAUUGGAUGAAGGCACGCUCUUCGCGUUGUUAUGAGGGACUCUUGACUGGGCAAGGUCCUUUCCCUUGGAUUGAAAAGGUUAACAGUCCUCGAGGUCAUGGGUUUACUUACUUGGUCUUGCUGUAGUGCCUCUGUUGGACUUCCCUUGAUCCAUCCAUUCCCACAUACCCUUUGCAUUGCUUUUGAGUAGUGCUGACCUCUCAAAGGCCCCUUGUUGGAAUAAUCUAUGAACAGAAUACUAAUUGUCAUAAUUUUCUGCAAUAACCAUCAAUCCAAGAUCCCCUUACCACUUGGGUUGUUUGUGCAGUCGUGAUUACCAAAGCAAGAAUGGACUAGACGGCUGGGUCUUCACCUUUUUUUUCUGCAUUGUUAAUAGUUCCAAUUAUUUUCCAUCCUGGGGGCAGGAAUCCUCCUUGCCCACCUCUAUUAUUCACUGCUUCAGUAUACAAUAUGGUUAAGGAAACUCAGACCCAUGGAGUGGGAUUGCUACCCUUUAUUUUGGGUUUCAAUAUAGAGAACACUCAAAGUCUCAGGAAGGAGAUUAAUAACCUUUCCUGCAUUCUUCCUUCCUAAGGAAAUUCUGCUUGACCCAGAAUUUGUUCUCUUUUUGUACAUCCUAUGGUGUGAAUUGCCAGGAUACAACAGAAAAUCUUGCUGUUAAUUCUUCACUUUUUAAGAAAGACAUUUGGAUUAUAAGACUGAAUAGAUACCUAGUCAUUUAAUUUUGCUCGCUUGAAAAUUCCAUUUAUACCAGAUACUGGUGACCAAUGUUUCUCAGUUUACUGAGGGUGGUGAGUCUGGAUAGAUCACUGUGGCUCCUGCUAUUUUAAUAUUAGAGUUCUUGAGUGGCAAUAUUGAAAAGUUUCCUUGUUUGGGCUCUGCCACCAUUAACUUUCAGAGAAACCACCUAAACUUUCUAGUUCUGGAGCACCAACGAGGGUCUCUGUAAAAGGAGCGGGUGAGAGAGCAUGCUCUGGAAAAGCGAAGAUCGCCGUAUGUCAUUUGCUUAUUAUAAAGUGGGUGUCCGGUUUAAUGCUGCAACGCAUAUUAUUUCUGCAAAUAAUUCAAAGUAGCCUGCAGCGCCACACCAGGAACGGUGGUGGUCUUGGAAAUGAUGGGACCUGGUUUCCUAUUUAAUUUGAUAAGAAAUGAUCAUAAGCGUCGAUGGUGAGGUAGCUGCUUAGCAUAAAUGAAUAGUAUCAUGUGCAAAAUGUUUUGUGGUGGAGGAGUAUUUAAUGUGGAACUGCUGAAGCAAAUAGUCAUCACAACAGCAGUUCAAUAUCAUCACUAAAAACUGAACAGCCACUGUUCCUGAGAGACGGAUGUCAAAAUAGCUGCCCAACUGCAAGAAGAAUCUCAAGGCUCUUUAGAAUAUGGGACAAAUUCAGAGCUGGUUCUGAAGUACAUGCCAGGAAGGAGGAAUGGAUCGAUUUUACGUGGCUUGAAGCCUAUACUGGAUGGCACCCACGGUUAAAAGAGCAGUUUUGGCAUCCUUCAAAAUCACAACUCGGAUGUCAUGUCAGUGUGUUGAAGUCCAUUCCUACUGAACCUAUGGGACAGAGCAGAAGUGCUCUUGCGGAUUUCUGAUACUGUAACUCGAGGGAGCAGAAGGCCUUUCUCCCUCGCAACAGCUGGAUGCUCCGAGCACGUGCGACGUGACUGCAAACUGCUCUGAAAGCUGCGAAUCCAGAACAUCCUUCUGAGCAUCUGUGCACCCUCCUGCUGAUAGGAAGAGCUGGUUUGAAGACCACCUGAAGACAAAGAUCUUCCUUAAAAUAAUAGGCUUGUUGUCUUGGUGGUAGUGACCCAUUCCCUUUGACGAUCCUUUGGUGGAGAUGGGGCAUGAGGAUCCUCCAGGGGAAAAGCUCACUAACACUGGGCAACAACUCUAUCUAAUCCAAGAGAUUCUACUGAAGUGUUUUCCUGGCCCAGACAAGACAAUGGAAUCGCAAAAGACCUCCGCCACCUAUCAGAGCCCAAGACCAUUUCUUCCUUAUCUGCUAAAUAUCCAUCCUAAAAGCAACGAACAUGGGACUUCAGCAGACUCAGGAGAUUUAAAGACAUCAAAGGAAGUCAGCCUUUUACGUGAAGAUCAACAUGCCUGACACUCAAGCAUUUUUGAAUAGUAGAAUGAAUGUAUCUGUUCUCUUUGCGUCCAGCCCUCUCUUGCAUAUGUCUACUAUUGCUUAUCCAUUAUGUCUCUGUCUCAGUCUUUAUUGUCGUGGCUCUUUCUGGUGCAUGCAAUGUCUCCAUUCUCCCUCUGGCUACUUUCUGCUCUGAGUCUUUGCUUCCUCUUCUGUCAUUGCUCCUUAGAAUGCUCUGCUUUGUGCCUUGUCUUCCAUGUAGCUUUCAGGCUUCGUCUUCCCUGUGGCUUCUCUUACUCUCCUAUGGCUUGCUCUUCUUUCACUCUUGAAUGUCUUCUGAGCUACAUGUUGUCUUCUUUCUGCUCAUUUCUUGUUCUGCCUACUUCUCUUUCUCGCUACCCUCUCCCCUUCUCCUUGCUAGACUUCUCCUUUUUCAUUUUCGCCUUUCUUGUGCUACUUCUGUUCAUCAUCUAUCAUUUCUCUUCAAUACAUCUCCUCUGCCUCUCUUGGGCCAUUUUCUCUCUUUUCCUUCUCUGCGUGCCUCAGUGUUUCUCUGUUCUUUGUUUUUCACUUCUGCGUUCAUCUCUGUAUUCUCUUGCAUGUUCCCUUCUUACUCAGUAUGUCAGCCUCUUCAUCAGUCUAUGUCUCUCCUCUUUGAUUUCAUGUCAUCCUCUCACCUCCGAUAUUCCUGUGUCUACGUAUGUGCAUGUGGAAAAAGCUUCCUAACCCCUUCCCAGUAGGUGUGCAGUGUCAGCUAUCAAAAGUUAAGCAUCGCAGAGCUGUUUUCUAACUGCCAGGCUGACUGUGAGAUGAUCCGACAUGAAAAGAAGCCCCAACGCUGUGGACUGAAGUACAAUCCCACACCUACAAAAGGCAGAAGAUAGAAAGUUCAAAAUAAUGGAUAAAAGGCCAAAAACAGAAGACUGAUGGUUUGACACCGGAGGACUAAAAUAGAACACCUGUGUCCCAACAUAAAUGCGCUUAGCCCUGAAAGGAACAAAAGCCUGGCGAGCUAAGAUGGACAGAAGCCAGCUAGAGAUCCACGUGAGGCUCAAAGCAUGAAAGCCAGUAUUCAAGAGUCAGGGUUCAUGGAAGGUUCAAGAUUCAAGGAUGCAAGCCAAGGACUGUAGACUUAAAACAGGCAGAAUGCCCAAGGAAAACAGAUACCUCAAGAUCUGAGGCGGGAAUCUAGAGGCCUAGGACCCAGAACAUAUAUGAUCCCCAAGACCAGAGAAAAUACCAAGAUGGGAACCUUAAACCUCAGCUUUCCUCAGCUCUUUUCUAUCGCUAUACUUUUAGAUAUGUGCAGUUCUCCCCUUCUAGUUCUCCUAUCUCCACUUAGACCUUUUUUUUUUUUUUUUAAAAAAAGGUUUUUUUUUUUUAAUGUUGUGAUUACUUUAAAAGAAUAUAUCUUUACUUGAGGGCCACAUCAAAGAUUGGUGAUAUUAUACGUUUUGGGGGCAUUUCCCCUUUUUUAUUAUCAUCUCUGCAUUUGACAGAUAUGUCAAUAUCCAGUCAGUAUCCAGUCUGGAUUGAGCUAUUCCUCUCAGGAGCAAGCCUCCACAGGUGACACUGUAUUGAAGUCCUCUUUUUCCUCAGAAGCCAUAGGCUGAUGAGACGAGGGAAGGGAUAAGGCUAUGGAGGGAGGGAAAAGUCUCAGACUAUCUGGAAAACAUAUGAAGAGAUGCUCCAGGCCACUGAGAAGAGUAAACAAGAAACACUCAGAUACGCCAGCUUCCUGAGAAGCACCAGCUAACACCACCUAACUUCUUAGAGCCUGGGUGAGCAAAAGUCGUAAGAUUGGAUAUUUCUAUGGGUGGGUAUAGAAAGGGUGAUUGGGUGUAGGACAAUGUGAAGCCCCAACGACACAACACACACACACACACACACACACAACCUAAACUCCCUGCUCAUCCUAGUGGCCAAUUGAUGUGGUGGAUUCAUACCCACCUCUAGACUUAAAACAGUAAGAGGAACUGGGAAUAUUUUGCCGGUUUAAUCCUUUCCUUAAUUUCACCCCAAUGAAUGCGGGAAGGUGGCUUAAAGAUAACACAGAUGAAAGUACUUUUCGAGCUAACAUAUUAGAGGUAGCAUAUUACAGCCACAGAUAGCCUUUGCAAAUGCAUUGUAAGCUGUGCUACAUCAUGUAAGUCCGGAGUCAGCACAGCGUGUCUAUGAAAGGUCCCUUAAUAAGUAUUUUAGGCACUGGAGGCCACAUGGUCUUUGUUGUGAAUUCAGUCUUUAUAAUUCUUAAAAAGUGAUCAAUCCAUUCUUAGCUUGGGAACCAAGUGGAAUGGCCUGGGAGCCAUAGGUGUACCAAUCCCUGAUAUAUAUGCCAGGAACUGACUAUGCACUGGAUAAUACAAAUUUCCUCUUCUUUGCUUAUCCCUGUGCUAGGAUACUGGAGAUGCAGCAUGGUUUUUGACCACCUUCAAGUGGAUCAAGGAAAAAUACAAAUAUAUGAGUAUGCCUUGUAAACUACAAAGAAUUAUAAAAAGAAUGAUUUUCAGCAUUUGAUAAAAGCAUAUUGAUUUAUUUGUGCUCUUGUGCUAGAUAUUAUAGGCACAAAGAUUAAAAGAAGUAUGAAUAGAAAAUCCUUAAAAAUAUGUAAUACUAUAUACAUGUCAGUACAAGAUGUUGGACAGAUUUAUAUAUUGGUGGCCAACAUGUUUCUGAUGCAAUGAUUUUUUCAGUAUAAAGAUAAGAUUUAUAGUACUGCAGAUACCUAGAAAAGAAAACAACAUGUGGGAACUGCUUAGAAAAUAUAAAAUAUACCACAUAUGUAAGGAUUAAACUAUUGUGGUCAUCUGGGGGUUGCCACAUGCCAUGCUAGUUGGCUAGAGGUACCAGAGAGGAAAAACAAGUACUAUUAUUUUUGGAGAAUUCUAAAUUUCACAAAGUGCUUUAUAACGAAAAUACUAUACCAAUGGGCUGCAUUUUAUUAAUGCAUAUUCAUUACUUACUUUUCAAGUACUGUUUCUUAUGUUUCAAGCACUGUGGAUUCCAUAAUUAUCCCAAACUGUAAGUGAAAAGUUUAUGUCAAAGACUUUUUAGAUGUUAUGCAUUUGGUACUUGAUUCAAUCAUAAUUUUUUGAGGACUGUCAAAUGGAAUUAUUCCUUACCAUUAUUUUCCCCCCCAGAUAACAGACAAAUGUAAUGGAGGUAAAUAUGCUCUGAACCAUAAAGUGCUAUAUAAAUUAAGAUAUUACAUGUUUUCUGUAUGAAGAAAGCUUUCUGUGAGCUAGACAUUCUCUGUAUAAGUUUUAUGUACUGUGCUCACAGAUAAGACAUGAAAAUUUUCUCUAGCAUGUAAAUUAUCCAAAGGUAAUUUGCCAAAUUAAUAGUACUUAAACUGGGUGCUAGAGAUCAAAUUAAUUCUUAAUGUGUUAAGUUUACAUAAGUGAGUGAAUCUAUAUUGAUUUUUUUUUACUAUGGGAAAUUCGUAUAGGCACUAAAGAGCUAUACAAAUGAUUUCCCGUCAUUUCAUUGUGCUCCCAGCUAAGACUAAGAAGAUCUUGGCAUUUUAUGAACAGGAAAGCACCAUGCAAAUGUAGCUUUUACACAACUUGGUGCUAGAGCAUCCCAGUUGCCAUUACACUUUGGGGGAAAAAACCAAGUAGAAAGAUCGGUCUGAGGAAGGACUGUUAUGGCCAUACUACUAAACCCUGCUCAGCACUGGGGGUACAAAGAUAAACCAUCUGGAUUAUUUCCUAGGUAGAAGAAAAUAUGUGUAGAAUUGAUUUGUAAAUUGUAAACUGCUACACAUCUAUGAGCGAUCUCUGCUGGAUAAAUAUAUUUACAUACUUACGUUUAACUAUCAUUAAUCCCCAGAGAGCAAAUGGAGUAUGGAAUUAUUAUUAAGCCUAUAACAAAGAACUGUAUAUAUAUAUUCACAAAAGCUACUGUGCUACAUAGACUUAAGGAAUUCACUGUUGACUUAAUGAAUUCAUGCUGCUUAUUUGCUAUGAGAUAGACCAUUGUCUAUAAGACUGGUUUUCUCAUGGGGCACUCACAGAAAGAAAAGAAUUCAUGGAUGUGAGAUGUAGGCUAACCACUGCUGAGUUUACUUAAUGAUAAGAAUAUAGGGGAGGAAUGGAUUUGAUUCACCAAUGUAAAUGUCAGUGUCUUUAAAUACUAAGAUACUUAAAUAAAUAAACAUUGGCCUGGCCUAAUUUAAGAGAAAAUUUUUAAGAAAGGGAUUGUAGAUUUCCAGUUGCCUAUUUGCCAAACCUGGAGGUGAAGUAUUAUGCUAAGUGAAAUAGAUUUGAUCCCCAAGGCACUUAAUCUGACUUGCGGAAGAAAUAAAAGAUAUUACAUGGAAUUAUUUUAAUGAACUGAAAUGCUUGUAAAUGUCAAGGCAUUGGACCACCUCCUAGACUGAAAUAAAUCUUGAUUAUAUUGGAGAGUACAAUAUAAUAAAAAGUUACUUUCACUCCAUUCUGAAUGUAUUUUGUUGGAGUGUCUUGGGCUUAAGACCUCUUACCAGAUUCUUAGUGGAACCAAAACGUUUUUUAAUAAAUGUAUUCCCAGAACAUUUGUAACCUUACAAGCACUUUUCUUAUUAAAGGCAUGGUUUAGUUUCUCAUUGCUUUUUACAUUUAAACAUCUACCUCUCUGGCCACUAGAAUAAGCAGGAAGCUGGUUAUAUACUGAGCUUGCUCCUGAAGUUACAAGAAUUCUUAUGAAAAUAGACACUGUAUUUUUUCCCUCUUUAAAUAUGGCUGCAACCACUAUUGGGCAGGAGGAGGAAGGAUAAAGACUAAUAAAUUCCCAAACCAGAUUCAGGAAUAUGAAUACAUCACAUUCAAAGUCACGUAUCAGUUUUGUCUAUUUUUAAGUACUUUCUCUGUUUGCUGACCAAAAGUAUUUGUCGAAACAGAUUCCUUUCAGGCAUCAUCCCCAGAGGACAAAAUUGGAGAUGGAGACAUGAUUUCUCUUUUGCAAUUGCUUCUACCUUUUACCUUAGAAAUGCUACUCUUGCUAUCAGAACCUGCUCAAGAAAAGGUUUGGUAUGUUAGCAUGUCAAUGGGUGGUGACAUUAGCUUACACAUGUUACCCUGCUGGUUUACAUGUUAAGUUAUGAAUAAUUAAUUAAAAUUGGAGCUAAUUGGCAAAAAUUGGAGGACAAAAAGAUGUACAAACACUUUAAAUUUAGGUACCAGGCUUUGACCUUUUCUAUCUUUAAAUCACUCUGAAGAGGGUGGGCUAGGAGGAAGAGUGAAAGGAAAGGUCAAACCUGUUUGCGGAGAGCAGCCAGCCUUUGAUUUUGGCUGGGCUCAGUCUGAAUCAGGGACAUGGCAGUAAGUUUCGACUGGUUUUUGCUAAAAGCAUUAUUUGGGAGAAAUCGUUUUGACUGAAUGCUUAUAAGUUAAACUUGACUUAGCUCAAAGUAGAAUUUAUUAAUUGAAUCAAUGUGAGCUCUUCAUAAGGUGCCUUCAACAUAAGGUGGCCAAAAUUCACUGUAAAGGGUGAGGACGUUAUUUAUUGUUCAUUGUAAUUCAUUUCAAAGCAUCUAAACUUUUUUACAUAGCAAGUCAACAAUAACAUCCCUAAAUGGAGGAGGAAAUAAGAUUAAUGAAUGGCAUUGGACAAUUGGCAGAGGAAGAAAGUUUAAAGAGGAUCGGGGGUAAAGUUUUUGUUUUUUUCCUUUGUAUACUUUUAGUUAAGUAUCGGAUACAUUUGGAAUAUUAAUGUCUAGCUUUUAAUGUGGAAUAUGCUGGAUUUAGUAACACUCCCCCCCUUUUUAGGUGGGGGUGGGAGGUGCAUUGUUAGAAAGGAGAAAGUAACUACAAGCCUUCCUUUCACAGUUUCUGUCUACCACUCCUGAUUAAUCAAGAGUAAAGGACAUGUGACCACCACCUGCUUCUGAUGAAUGGAGUGAACCAAUCCAUUUUUAAGGAAAAUGACUUCAUCUUCAUUCUUCAUCAAAGGAAACUAUGCCCAAGUUCUAGAGACAUUUUGACUUGUGAACUCAUGUGAUAUGCUGAAUCUCUUUCGACCCUUAAGUGUGCUGACGCUUGAUGUCUUAGCAGAAGUACUUUUCUGACUACAAAUCGGUUUUUCUACCUUAUAGUUAGUUUAAAGAUAAAUGCUGACACUCAACAUGAGAUCUUGAACUUGAUCUGAAGAAACUAUAUUAAAGUUUCAUUUGCCCGAGUUACCCUAUCCCUAAGCAAGUAAAUAAUUUCAUCUUUAUCCAAAGCCAUAUAUAUACAUGUUACAAUGGAGAUAAACUGGGGAGUUUCUUGUCUAAUGGAAAAUAAAAUACUGUUUUAAACCUUU